CCCCAGCGUUGUCAGAUACAUCCUUGACGCAGAAACAGACGGGGGCUACCAGGAGAUAGAAGAGAGAGGAUACGUUCAUCAGCUGGAAGACGAAAACGACGGGAGCUACCAGGAAAUAGAAGGUUGGUGUCUAAAGGUUAACUACAAGCAUGAUGUGUAACGGCUGUGAAAC